rnacentral:rRNA from 1 species
UAUAUUAUACUGUAAAGAAAUGUAAAUUAAAUUAUAAUAUUUUACCUUUUGCAUAAUGGUUUAAUAAUAUUACUAAAAAUUCAGAACCCGAAGUUAAAAGAUCUAAUUUUAUUAUUUUAUUAGAAUAAGUAUAUAAUGUUUCAAAAUUAUAUUAAUAAAUAAAAUUAGGAGUGAAAGGCCUAUCAAUUUUAAGGAUAUCUGGAAUAAUUUUAAAUGUAUUGAGUACAAAAUUAAAUUUGAAUAAAAAAAUGUUAAGAUUUUUUUAUAAUAGAAUAAUUAUUAAUAAGUAUAUGUGAAUUAAUCUUCUUACAUAAAAUUAUUUAUAUAAUUUAUUAUUAUAUAUAUCUAAUUAUUAAAAUUAUAUUGAUGUUAACUUCAAAUUAAAUUAACUAUGUUAAAAUUAGUAUAAUAAUUUUUUUUAAUUAAGGAACUCGGCAAACAUAUUAUUCAUCUGUUUAUCAAAAACAUAGUUUUAUGUAUAAAUAUAAAAUAAAACCUGCCCAGUGAUAUUAUUUAACGGCCGCAGUACCUUGACUGUGCUAAGGUAGCAUAAUAAAUUGACUUUUAAUUGGGGCCUAGAAUGAAUGGGUAUAUGAAUAAUUUCUGUCUCAAGUAAAUUUAUUUAAAGUUACUAAAAAGGUGAAAAUUCCUUUAAUAUAAAAAUAAGACGAGAAGACCCUAGGAGUUUGAAAUUUUGUUGGGGCGACAAUAUAGCAUAUAACCUAUAUAAAUUAAUAUAAAUAUAACAAAUAAUAUUAAUAGUAAUUAAACUACCCUAGGGAUAACAGCACAAUUUUUUAGUUAAGUUUGUGACCUCGAUGUUGGACUAGGAACUUUUAAUAUAACAGUAUUAAU